AACGAACGCUGGCGGCAUGCCUAACACAUGCAAGUCGAACGAGAUCUUCGGGUCUAGUGGCGCACGGGUGCGUAACGCGUGGGAAUCUGCCCUUUGGUUCGGAAUAACAGUUGGAAACGACUGCUAAUACCGGAUGAUGACGAAAGUCCAAAGAUUUAUCGCCAGAGGAUGAGCCCGCGUAGGAUUAGCUAGUUGGUGUGGUAAAGGCGCACCAAGGCGACGAUCCUUAGCUGGUCUGAGAGGAUGAUCAGCCACACUGGGACUGAGACACGGCCCAGACUCCUACGGGAGGCAGCAGUGGGGAAUAUUGGACAAUGGGCGAAAGCCUGAUCCAGCAAUGCCGCGUGAGUGAUGAAGGCCUUAGGGUUGUAAAGCUCUUUUACCCGGGAUGAUAAUGACAGUACCGGGAGAAUAAGCUCCGGCUAACUCCGUGCCAGCCGCCGCCGUAAUAC
rnacentral:rRNA from 1 species